CGUCUGAUAUGCCUGAUAAACAUAGGAAAAUACUUCACAACUGCAAUUGUUUAUUUACGGAGACUUUGUCGUCUGCCAUUUUGUGUGGACCAAAACUUGCGUUUUUAUAUCUUUAAAUACCAAUUCGUCCCCUGGACAAUUGAUCUAAUAUUGUAUUUUUAAUACCACAGAUAAGAUAUUUUAUAAGUAUACCCUGUCGGACACAAAUAUAUAAUAAAUAUUUAGAUUGUUGAAAUGAACUAUGUUGUAUGUUAUUUACUUAUAAUGUACUAACGCAGAUCGUCUGCUAAAUCAAUGCCUGCGCAGUGGUGUCCGAUUGUUUAUUUCAAGCUUCUUUAUCGAUAUUUUAGAUGCUGUAGCUUUGUUUUGAUAUUUUAUGUAUAGGGACAAUGUUCGGACAACUUAAGAUGAUAUGUAUAUUACAUUUCAAUAUCUUAAAUUUUUAUAGUUCCGGCUACCUGGAAAGGACAAAUUUCCAUCGAAUUACGGUUUGUCACGUGACACUUACAAUUUAGUAUAAAAACGCGCGAGCACUCAGCAAUUGCAGAUAGCCCAAAGUUUUGCUGGCGGCAAGUUCAAACUUAGAACAAACAAAUUUACAAACAAAGCAGUAAUAACCUUUAGGUGAGAAUUAGGAUAACAUAAUGAAGCUAAAUGAUCUUUAAUUAGCCGUCUGUUGUACAGAAAGCUAUCUCCCACCACGUCGGACACCACGAAUAUAGCAUGAAAUUCAAAACAGUGUGGC
rnacentral:lncRNA from 1 species